GGAAUAAUUAACUAAAGAAAGAUAAACCUUUCCUGAGACAGGUUAGCACUUACCUCUGGUAACCCAGAUAUAAAGAAACCCAAGAAGAAAAGCAGACCUUCAUAUGCGCUUUCCCUUCUUUUUUGUGAGUGUAUCUGUCUCCCCUGCUACUGCUGCCUUUUUUUUUUCUUCCAACAUUGUUAUCUAGUGUCUCUGGAUUCCAAUGUGGAUUAAAGACCAGCAGCUAUCCUGAAAUGCUCCAGUCACUCAGCAUUAUAUUUAGAAUGAUGAAGCAUCCAGUCUUGUUGACUUAGUAGCUUCUCCAACCUUCAAAAGAUCAUCAAUUGUUGGAAUACCCAGCCCCUAUCAAUUAUAAGCCAUUCUGGUAAAUAUUUGGAAUGGCUGGAGACCAAUAGGAUGUCAAAGCCAG
rnacentral:lncRNA from 1 species